UUGGUUUUCGGACAGCAUAAAAAUUGGAACGAUACAGAGAAGAUUAGCCUCUGCACAAGGAUGACACGCACAAAUAGAGAAUUGGUCCAAAAAAUG
rnacentral:snRNA from 1 species